UACGUAGGGGGCGAGCGUUAUCCGGAAUUAUUGGGCGUAAAGCACACGCAGGCGGUUAGCCGCGUUCAUGCUGACACUCACCGGCUUAACUGGUGAAGGAGUAUGAAAACGGGCUGACUUGAGAGCGAGAGAGGGACACGGAAUUCCAGGUGGAGCAGUGAAAUGCGUAGAGAUCUGGAGGAACACCAAAGGCGAAGGCAGUGUCCUGGCUCGUUUCUGACGCUCAGGUGUGAAAGCCAGGGGAG
rnacentral:rRNA from 1 species